rnacentral:rRNA from 1 species
CGGCAACAGCUCAAAUUUAAAAUCUGGCCUCUUCGGGGCCCGAGUUGUAAUUUGUAGAGGAUGCUUCGGGUGCGGUACCUUCCGAGUGCCCUGGAACGGGACGCCAGAGAGGGUGAGAGCCCCGUACGGUUGGAUACCAAGCCUAUGUGAAGCUCCUUCGAC